CUCAUUGUUCAAUUCCCACCUAUGAGUGAGAACAUGCGGUGUUUGGUUUUCGUCAUUGUGAUAGUUUGCUGAGAAUGAUGGUUUCCAGCUUCAUCCAUGUCCCUACAAGGGACAUGAACUCAUCUUUUUUUUAUAGUUGCAUAGUAUUGCAUGGUGUAUAUGUACCACAUUUUCUUAAUCCAGUCUAUCAUUGUUGGACUUUUGGAUUGGUUCCAAGUCUUUGCUAUUAUGAAUAGUGCCGCAGUAAACAUAUGUGUGCAUGUGUCUUUAUAGCAGCAUGAUUUAUAAUCCUUUGAGUAUACACCUAGUAAUGGGAUGGCUGGAUCAAAUGCUAUUUCUAGUUCUAGAUCCCUGAGGAAUUGCCACACUGUCUUCCACAAUGGUUGAACUAGUUUACAGUCCCACCAACAGUGUAAAAGUGUUCCUAUUUCUCUGCAUCCUCUCCAGCACCUGUUGUUUCCUGACUUUUUAAUGAUUGCAUUCUAACUGGUGUGAGAUGGCAUCUCAUUGUGGUUUUGAUUUGCAUUUCUCUGAUGGCUAAUGAUGAUGAGCAUUUUUUCAUGUGUUGGCUGCAUAAAUGUGUUCUUUUGAGAAGUGUCUGUUCAUAUCCUUUGCCUACUUUUUGAUGGGGUUGUUUUUUUCUUGUAAAUUUGUUUGAGUUCUUUGUAGAUUCUGGAUAUUAGCCCUUUGUCAGAUGAGUAGAUUGCAAAAAUGUUCUCCCAUUCUGUAGGUUGCCUGUUCACUGUGAUGGUAGUUUCUUUUGCUGAAGCACGUCCUGUUCUUGUACUGUGAUACUUCAUGAGUAAUUGAGUGCUGCCACCAUUGUCAACCUUAACUGGGAAGGCUCAUAUUUAGAUGAUACAAAGAGGAUUUGCAUAAACUAUCUGUUUGGCUGGCUCAACUACUUGGAGAGUUUGCAGUAUAAAAAGAGCACAAAAGAGUGGAGUGCAUCCACACUGGGCAAGAGCUUGACAAGCCCAUUUGUCACACCCAGGGAUUUAAUACUGAUUCAAAAGCCUUUGGUGAGUCAUGGAAUUGAGGGAUCCAUUUGGGGAAACUUGUGGAAGUGUGAGAAUGGAGGACAAUCACCCUCUGACACCACAUUGACUUCACACCGUGUGAGCCACAGCAGGGGUGGCAAGCACGUCUUGUUUUUGUACUGUGAUACUGCAUGAGUAACUGAGUGCUGCCACCUGAGGACGCGCAUCUUUUGAGGGCUGUUGUCUUUCACUGCCACCCCUCCCUCACAUCAUGCAGCCUAUCAAAGCGUUUCUCCCAACAAACACGCAGCCCUCAUCCUGAGAAUUCUGGUAAGUUUGUUUCCUUAUAUUUCCCAUAACGCUUUUAGUACCCCUUAUAACUAGUCCCUUGGAAAUGGCCUCAGUUUGAAGCAGGAUCAGGGUGUCUCAAGUCAAAACACAGUUUUGAGUCCUAGCUCUCUGCCACUUACAAUUAUACUCUUGGACAAUAUAUUUAACUUUGGUAAUCUUCAGUUUUCUCAUCUAUAAAAUAGGAAUAGCUAUAUAUUUUUUAAACCGGUAAGAAGGAAGUUGAAAUGUAAAGAUGAAAUUCAAAGGGGCCUCAUUUAUCUCUGGGACCCAAUUUCUCUUCUACUUUGAAAAAAGUUUAUUAGAAUGAAUAAAUGUAAUUGCUGAUAUAUUACUUUUUUGGUCUGUAGAAAUGGCAGUUUUAUAUGGUUUAAUGUUAUUGUGUCCAACAGAUAAGUAGAGAUGAGGAAUUAAAUUGAUUAUGAAAAUUUUGUUCGGUUGGCCCAGCAUAGUGGUUCAUACCUACAAUCCCAGCAGUUUGGGAGGCCAAGGUAGCAGGAUGGCUUGAGCCCAGGAGUUUGAGACCAACUUGGGCAACAUGAUGAAACCUCAUUUCUACAAAAAAAAGCCCAAACCCCUAUCCAAAAAAAAAAAACAACCCACAGAAAUUAGGGCAUGGUGGCACGCAUCUGUAGUCCCAGCUACUCAGGGGCUGAGGCGGGAGGAUAACCUGAGUCCAGGCAGGUUGGGGCUGCAGUGAGUGGUGAUCAUACCACUACAUUGCAGCGUGGGCAACAGAGUGAGGCCCUGUCUCAAAAAAAAAGAAACAAGAAAAAAACUUGGCAGGAUGUUGAUCCUACACAAAAUGUUUAACAUGCAUUCCACACUGUUAUCUCUCAAUUACUUACAUAAUUGUCUUGAGACCUAAGAGAUUACUAGAUUACUAAAAGCUAUGCCUGCAUUAAAAUAUGACUUUUUUAGAAGACAGUUCUUCUGUCGUGUUAAAUUUACUCCUGAAAUAGGGCCUCCUUAACAUAAAAAGCUCAUGUUAUUAAAAGUGUACAUUUUUGCUCAAGAGAAUUCUUAGAUAAAUUCCAAAAAGGACAAAGGAAAAGAAAAAAAUACCACUCUUCACUUGUUUUUUUGUACCUCAUACUUUGUCUUCAUAUGUCCCUGUGAUUUUCCUAAACAGGAAUGAUCGGGUCACCACCUAUGUUGGAAAAUAAACUUUAUUUUCAACAUAUGUUCCUAAGCUUAGUAUCUAAAACUGUUUCCACUGGAUAGAAAGGAAAAAGAGUGUGUUGUGUCUUCCAUGCUAGCAUCAGCAUGCAGGAACUUUGAAAAACACACCAAGUAUCUCAUUUGGAGACUUUGGGCAAGCAUCACAAAGCAAUAGUACUUGUGGCAAAAGCCAAAAUGAAAAUCAGUAUUUUCUUCUUUCUUUGCCAAUUCUAAUGGCAGGCUCUGGCCUGCAGAUCCCAGAAUUUUAAAAUGUCUUUCCAGCAAGGAAUUGCUUUCAUGUUUGCAUCCUCAUUGCUA
ensembl:lncRNA